AAAUUGAAGAGUUUGAUCAUGGCUCAGAUUGAACGCUGGCGGCAGGCCUAACACAUGCAAGUCGAACGGUAACAGGAAGCAGCUUGCUGCUUCGCUGACGAGUGGCGGACGGGUGAGUAAUGUCUGGGAAACUGCCUGAUGGAGGGGGAUAACUACUGGAAACGGUAGCUAAUACCGCAUAAUGUCGCAGGACCAAAGAGGGGGACCUUCGGGCCUCUUGCCAUCAGAUGUGCCCAGAUGGGAUUAGCUUGUUGGUGAGGUAACGGCUCACCAAGGCGACGAUCCCUAGCUGGUCUGAGAGGAUGACCAGCCACACUGGAACUGAGACACGGUCCAGACUCCUACGGGAGGCAGCAGUGGGGAAUAUUGCACAAUGGGCGCAAGCCUGAUGCAGCCAUGCCGCGUGUAUGAAGAAGGCCUUCGGGUUGUAAAGUACUUUCAGCGGGGAGGAAGGGGAUAAGGCUAAUAACCUUGUUCAUUGACGUUACCCGCAGAAGAAGCACCGGCUAACUCCGUGCCAGCAGCCGCGGUAAUACGGAGGGUGCAAGCGUUAAUCGGAAUUACUGGGCGUAAAGCGCACGCAGGCGGUCUGUCAAGUCGGAUGUGAAAUCCCCGGGCUCAACCUGGGAACUGCAUUCGAAACUGGCAGGCUUGAGUCUUGUAGAGGGGGGUAGAAUUCCAGGUGUAGCGGUGAAAUGCGUAGAGAUCUGGAGGAAUACCGGUGGCGAAGGCGGCCCCCUGGACAAAGACUGACGCUCAGGUGCGAAAGCGUGGGGAGCAAACAGGAUUAGAUACCCUGGUAGUCCACGCCGUAAACGAUGUCUACUUGGAGGUUGUGCCCUUGAGGCGUGGCUUCCGGAGCUAACGCGUUAAGUAGACCGCCUGGGGAGUACGGCCGCAAGGUUAAAACUCAAAUGAAUUGACGGGGGCCCGCACAAGCGGUGGAGCAUGUGGUUUAAUUCGAUGCAACGCGAAGAACCUUACCUGGUCUUGACAUCCACAGAACCCUGUAGAGAUACGGGGGUGCCUUCGGGAGCUGUGAGACAGGUGCUGCAUGGCUGUCGUCAGCUCGUGUUGUGAAAUGUUGGGUUAAGUCCCGCAACGAGCGCAACCCUUAUCCUUUGUUGCCAGCGGUCCGGCCGGGAACUCAAAGGAGACUGCCAGUGAUAAACUGGAGGAAGGUGGGGAUGACGUCAAGUCAUCAUGGCCCUUACGACCAGGGCUACACACGUGCUACAAUGGCGCAUACAAAGAGAAGCGACCUCGCGAGAGCAAGCGGACCUCAUAAAGUGCGUCGUAGUCCGGACUGGAGUCUGCAACUCGACUCCAUGAAGUCGGAAUCGCUAGUAAUCGUGGAUCAGAAUGCCACGGUGAAUACGUUCCCGGGCCUUGUACACACCGCCCGUCACACCAUGGGAGUGGGUUGCAAAAGAAGUAGGUAGCUUAACCUUCGGGAGGGCGCUUACCACUUUGUGAUUCAUGACUGGGGUGAAGUCGUAACAAGGUAACCGUAGGGGAACCUGCGGUUGGAUCACCUCCUUA
rnacentral:rRNA from 1 species